rnacentral:rRNA from 1 species
AUUGAACGCUGGCGGAAUGCUUUACACAUGCAAGUCGAACGGCAGCACGGACUUCGGUCUGGUGGCGAGUGGCGAACGGGUGAGUAAUAUAUCGGAACGUGCCCAGUCGUGGGGGAUAACGUAGUGAAAAUUACGCUAAUACCGCAUACGAUCUAUGGAUGAAAGCGGGGGACCUUUGGGCCUCGCGCGAUUGGAGCGGCCGAUAUCAGAUUAGGUAGUUGGUGGGGUAAAGGCUCACCAAGCCAACGAUCUGUAGCUGGUCUGAGAGGACGACCAGCCACACUGGGACUGAGACACGGCCCAGACUCCUACGGGAGGCAGCAGUGGGGAAUUUUGGACAAUGGACGCAAGUCUGAUCCAGCCAUUCCGCGUGCAGGACGAAGGCCUUCGGGUUGUAAACUGCUUUUGUACAGAACGAAAAGGUUUCUAUUAAUACUAGGAGCUCAUGACGGUACUGUAAGAAUAAGCACCGGCUAACUACGUGCCAGCAGCCGCCGUAA